AGCUAGGGUUUUUCUCUUUUCUAUUUAUCACUGGAUAAAACAUUUUUCUAUAAACAAAAUCUGACAAAGGGAAGAAAACGAAGAUCAUAAUUCACUUUAUAUUGCCAAUUUUGAUCGUGCGUUGCAUUAUAAUUUAUCGGUCGUGUUGCGAAAUCACUUUCGAUUUAAAACUCGACGAUGAUCGAUUUCUGGUGUAUAAUAUUGCUUAACGCUCAUUAACAAAAAAUGCUUGAUUAAUUCAUGAGUAUUAUGAAUAAAAAAAAAAAAGAACGUUUGAUCGAUUUGUGGAAUCAAACGAGGAAAACUUCCUCAAAAGCAGAUGCACCAAGUCUCCAUUUUGACAUGAAUCAAAAGGUAAUAUGUGGUUGUAUUAUAGCAACUCACCUCAUGAGGGUUAGAUUGAAUAAUAAUUACUAUUAUUAAGUUUAUCCUGUCUAUUUACACCAGUUUUAUUACAGUUGCAAGCACUUUACUAUCGAUAUCAGUUAAUUUAACAUCUCAACCUUCACACCCAAAAUAAUUUUCUCUCCAGAACAUUCUCUCUCUUCCUCCCAUCCCCCCGCGGUUUUUGUGCGGCAUUGAAUGUCUCUCUUGAGAGUAAUACCACACCAGGACGGUUUUUAAGUAGACAUCCAAAUAAUAUAAAGAUAUCUAUAUUACUGAAACAAACAGUCAUUAUAUUUGUGCUGAUAAGGCCUCACUUUUAACGAGCUGUCAGUCUCAUUUCAUUCACAAUCCUUAGCCUUGUUCAGACGACGUAAUUGCCUUGUGUCUUAAUGGCGGGAUUUGUUCAACCCAUAAUUAUAAUUAGAAUAACGUUUGUCAGCAGACAUCCACAGAACAUGUCAAACACCACGACAACGCGCUUUCAUAAAAUACGUUGGAAGAUAAUUUGAUAUAUGCAAGAUAAUUAUAGAAUAUUUAUUCCAUGUAUAUUGUUACACAAGUCACAUUUUAGACUUUCAAAUGUUUUGGUUAAUCUAUAAAGAAACAAUAAUAACCGAUAGACAAAGUUGACAGUAUGUUCAACAGAUGCUGAUGAUGAUAAUCUAAAGUAACUUUAAAAAUCUUUUCUUCCUCGACUUCUUCCUUAGAUUGUGCUGUCCUCCAAUUCAGCAGGGUCGUUAGUAGGUUCCAAAGAGAGCGAUGGGGAAAUUCUGCUGGGAUCAUCAAACAAAGUUUCCUAAAGAGGAAAACAAAAAUAAUUUACAAUUUAUAUUUUGGGAGAGAAUUUUGUUAGAAGCAAUAAACCAAUAUGUAAGUAAGAUUUGGCAAAGCUACAGGAUGCAACAAUAGAGUUAUUUAUUAAUUUAGUGAAAUAUGAACUUUUAGUGUAAUGUAAGUGAAGUUUAGUGCCAAUUUUUAAAUAUUUUUUGUAAAAUUUUAAUUAUCAUUAUUUCUUCAUUAUAAAUAACGAUUCAGUUGCUAGUAGGGACCUCAACUCUUUUGCAUAAAAAGGGUUUGCAGGACUUUAUAGGGAUGUUUUCUAAUCUUACUUAACUAUCAGCAUCAUUAUUAUCCAAACUGCUAUAAAUAAUUUUAUUUGUAGUUAAGGCCCAGACACACAUACAAAAUUUGGGGAAUAUACGAAAUAAUCACAGUUGUACAUAAUAAUUAUUACCUAAUAAUGUAUCAUCAUCAUCGUUUAACGUCCGCUUUCCAUGCUAGCAUGGGUUGGAAUACAGUUUAUAAAUAAUAUAUAUUCACACAAAACUGUUACAAAGCAGUUGUUAACAUACAUUAUUAUACCAGAUGUUGCUCUACAAUAUGUGUAUAUUUAUGUGUAUAUAUGUAUAUAUAUGUGUGUGUAUAAAUGCAUGUAUGUAUGUGCUGCAUUUGUGUUAGAUGAAUGUAUUAUCUGUCUUUGUUCUAUAUGUUUGUUUGUGUUAAUAAAAAAGAAAAAUGUAUGGUAAGUGAUUCCAUUGUUUAUUUUUAACAAAUAACUUACUUGGUUCAAAUCUGAACUAUAAAGUGGGUUAUUGAAUUCUUGGUUGUUGUACGCAUUAUUUGUAUUUCCUCCACUGGCUGAGCGGUUAGUUGACUAAUCAAAGAUAAUGGAAAAACAAUUGGUAAGUACUAUAUUUCUAUUUUUAAAAAAAAAUAUAUUUCUUAGUAAAGUGGCACAGUUUUAAAGUUUACCAGAUAUGGUUUGAAUAAAGUAAAAAAAAAAAAUUAGAAAUCAUUUGAAAAUUAGCCUGAUAUUAUUAAGCAGAAAACAUUUCAUAAUUUUCAUGUAAUAUUGUAUAAUAAAAUAAGUUUUGGACAUUAAAAAUAAUUUAUAUUUCAAAUCAUUCUUUAACUUAAAACUAAUGCCCCUUUCUUUGAAAUUCUUGAAAUUUCAAUAAAAUGUAAAUAUUUUCAACUAUUUUUGGUUAAUGCUAAAAUUUUCAUUUACAGGUUUGGUAACAAAGACAAAACCGAAAAGCCACAUGUAUAAAACAGUUCAGUCCUAAGACCACAUUUGAGACUUCUAAAUAGUAGUUUAGAUAAAAUAAUAUAUAGGAAUUUAGCUUUGAGUAAAUAUUAAGCAUAGGGAUAAAAGUCUUCAGAAGUCUUACAUUUAUAAAGGAAAUCAUUUAACUCUUAAUUACAAUUCAGCCUCAGACCACAUGUAUUAAGUAUUCAUAUUCAAAUUAAAUUCUUGAUCAAAAUCUCAUCAGUUAGUCAACACCAAAAUAAUGACCAAUAUAUAUAUAUAUAAACAAAUAGUUACAGAUAUCCUACUAUAUCAUUUCAAAAUGCUGAUUAUACUGAAAAUUGAAACACACUGAUAGAAAUAAUCAUGAAAGUGUAUAAAAAUUACAUUAAAAAUAUGGUGCAUUUGACCAAGAAAAUUCAUUUCUGAAAUACAUUCAUUGAAAGAAUAUUUAUUGAACCUACUUCAGCACCAUAAACUGGAUUUUGGAAUCCUCCUUCAUUAUGAUAUGUUGGACUUGGUAGAUCAUCUAAUGGGACAGUGUCUUGAUUAAUAAAUCUGCUGUGAAUGUUAGGGAAGAAUUGUCCUGAUGUAAACGGAUUGGCAAAAUUACGCCUGAAAAAUAUACAAACAUGUAUUUAUUACAUAUUUAUCCAGAGUGAGAACCAGGCUACAAAUGCAAUGCAUUACGAGCUUAAUAUUAUAAGAGCAAUUAAGAAAGAUUUUAAGAUGAUUUCAAGUUGUUUUAUUGGAAUAUAGAAGCAUUUUUAAGCUGUUGUAAACUAUUUUUGUAUGAUGCAAAAAUCUGAAGUAUUUAUCCAUUACAAUUUGAUUUUCAGUCUAUAUGUAGGUAAAAAUUAUUCACAUAUGCUUUUGUCAGAGAAAUGAACUAUACUUGGACUAAAUGGCUCAACACAGAAUGGAUCCUCUAAUAGCAUCCAAGUUGGUAGUGUUUUACAUCCAUACAAUUUCUUUUUAUCAAAUUACACUCAUAAGACACUAAUUCUCUUGAGGAUAAUGUUGAAGACACUUGCCCAAGGUGUUGUAUUCUUAGAUUGAACCCGAAAUAAAGAUAUUUGCGAGACAAAACUGCCUAACCACACACCCAAGCGUGCUGUGUCCACAAAUAGCAAAGCACUUUUGUUUUCUUUAAUAUCGAAACUUAUGAAUUAAUAGCAAUAGGGUUAGUAUUUGGUUAUUCAUUGAAUAUGGAAGUGAAACAAUGAAAUAUAAAAUUAAGGUUGUAAGAUCAUUGGGUAAUAACAAUAGGAAAUAGUAUUGUUAUAAGUGGCUGACUGGACUUACAUGUUACCUCUUCUGUAGAGGAGAAGUAAUAUAACAAUCAAUAGAAGCAAUAUCAAACUGCCCAAAGUGAAUCCAAGGACUGCAGCAGUUGAAAAUCCACCUGGGAAGAAGAAGAAUAAAAGGACUGUAUAUUAGAAAAUAUGAGUUGAUGUAAAAUCAUUAAUGUGUUUAUAUGUUGUAUUAUAAAAUGUUUUUUAAAGAAGUAGAUUAAAAAAAAAAAGUAUUUUUGAUGGUAAGAAAGAUUAUUUUUCUAUGUGUAAGUAUAAAUUGCGAAAAAGAUGAAGAAAGGAAACAAGAAAAUUAGGUGAGUUGAGUUACUUGAUAAUCUUAUCAUACCGAUCUUAAAAUGACCUUUUCCUGUUUUUCUAAUUCUCUUUCUGUUUUAUUGCAGGUAUUGUAUAAAUACUGGUUCUGUUCAGAAAUAGAACUAGGUUGAAUGCAGAAAUUGUGAAAUAAACUAACAAAAACUUCCUUCUUGUUAUUUUUGUAACAUUACCUGUAGGUUCAACUUUUAUGUUACGACCACUCUCAGGUUUACCAUAGUCCUGUGCAGUUGUCUUUUGACUUGUUCUUUGUGUUGUUGUUGUUGUUGUAGUAGUACUGGUUGUUUUUGUUGCUGUUGUCCAUGUUUGUUUUGUCUUUUUUGUAGUUGAUGACACUGUUGCUGGUGUUUUUGUUGUUGUUGUUGUCAAUGUUGUCGAUGUCUUUGUUGUUUCCGAAGGUCUCUUGUUUCUUGGCGUUCCAGAAACUUUUAUCUCAACUGCUGAAAAUAUGUAUUUGUAACCUCCAUGCGUUAUGUCUGUUUUGAGAGAAAAUGAUUACAUUUAGAAUUUACUGUAUCAAGGCAUUGUAUCAAUAUUUUAAAAAAGUUUUGAUUGUGAAAAUUGAAGAGAAAAUAAAAUUAUGCUUCUUUGUAUUAUUCUUUAUUUAUAAACAUGGACAAAACUGGCUGAUUUACAGCAUUUUAAAAUUAUAUGUUUCAGUUUGUGUAAAAUCAUGUGAAUAUACGCAUGUUGUAGAGCAAUGUGGAAUAUGUAUGUUUGUAGACAAAUGAAAAACUUGUUUUGAUAUUCUAAUACUUUAGAGAAACAUUUAACAAAUUAGUUGAAGGACUAAAUUUCUAACAGCUGUAAUUAAAUUUACAUAUAUUAUUGUUAACUGUGCCUUCUUGAUUGUUAAUACCUUCCAUGAGAUCAAUACGUACACCCUUGGUAGAUCAUAUGUAUAGACUUUGUACUGAUUCUUGGGAAAGUGGGAAAAGAGAGAGAGAGAGAGCAAUACACUUAUAACCAGAAUUUAUAUCAGAAGUAAAAAAUAGUAGUAGUAGUGUUUCUUUUAAUUGGCCACUUAGCAAAUUAGUUUGGGAAAUACCUAUAGAAAAUCAAAUAAUGUAAGAAUUCUGUUAAACAUUUUUCAUGGCAAUUACUAAUUUUAAGCUUGAAAAAGAAACAAAGAUAUAGCUGACUCAACUAUAAAUUUUAUCUUAAUAUGUUUUUAAUGUUAUUUUCUUAUCUUAUUUGCAUAUAGUUACCUGCACAUUUCCUAAUAGGUUAUUGUUUCAUUCUGAAAGUGACUAAAUGGACUUUAUACUUAGAAGGAAAAAAGAGAAAUACUCCUCUCCCUAUAUCACCAUCAAUAGUUUUGGAGUAUUUUUCUCAUGAGCAAAGUUUAUUUUUUGAUAUAUACUUAAAAUGUUAGAUACAGUUCUUCGAAAUUUUAUUAAAACCAGUUUAGCUCUUUGCUUCUUAAGACUUAGAUUAACUAAAUAAAUUGUUUUUUUAAAUAUUUGCUUGGUUUUUCAACUUUGAAGCAGUUAUAAUUGAGGUAGUAAUUUAUUUUAAAUUAAAUAAGAUAUUUCAUAAACAUUUAUCUCAUUUGUUUUGUCUUAUCUAACAUUAAGUUUCCUUAAAAGUUAAUUCACUGGAUUUGGUUCAAUUAACAUUAAAUGCUAAAUCUUUCUCAUAUUGGUUUUCUAGCAACAUUCUGUUCCAUUUGGGAAUGGGGAAAUUAAAAACUUUCACAUUAACAUUGCUUAAGUGAAUGAAAAAAACGUCUCAAAUAACCACAAACGAUUGUUUAGCCACCAUAAUUUAGGGGUAUGAUUUGAAGGAAAUCUGGUCUGCUAUUUCUAGCAGACCAAGCAGUAUUGUAAAAUGUCCCAUGUUCACAAAUGCCAUAAACCGAAGAAAAGUUACAAGGUUUAAUAGAACUACUACCAAUCUUGAAAGUCAAGAUUUAUAAAAUAUCUCAAUUGCAUUUAAUUUCCUUAGUCUACUAAACUAAAUUUGAAAAAUCACUUUAAUUUUGAAAUGUAACACUUGAAGUACUGUUUAUCUGCGGGAGUUUAUUACAACCAUUGAAAUCCCAACCAAACUUCAUCUAAUGUUAUGACUAAAUUGCGUAUAAUACUUUUUCCUAAAUUUUUUAAUAAUUAUGUUAUUCUCUUGCAUUUUUAAGAGAAUUCACUAAAUAUCAGUAGUUUCUUGAUAUAAUUUACUGUACAAUAGGUUGGCAUAUCUAAUAUUUUAUCAGUUGCAGAGCAUAAACUCUGUUUCACACUGUAUUGACUAAAUGACUUCAAUUAUGUUAGAACUGAAAUGUAACAAAUCAGUUUUUUUUUUUACUGUUUUCAUACUAACCAUGCUGUAACUGCUCCUGGUUCUAUAAAUCACACUUCCUGUUUUAAAGUGAUUCAAAUUAAAACCUUCCAUCAAGACUUGAUGUUAAUUUAUGUUCCAAACAUUAGUUUAAUAACUAACAACAGUUAUUUUACCUAAUUCUUCAUCAGAAAUAUGCUAAUAAAAGAGUUUGCCUUUCUGACUUUACUCCUUCUAUACGAUGACUACAUUAAUUUACAUGUGACAUUUUUACGGUUUAUUCCUGCCAAUAUUAUUGCAAUAUAGUUUUUCUUUUCUUUUUUUUCCUCUUUAAUAUGCAUGACUGACCUAUGUUGAGAUUGCUAGUAUUACAGUCCUUUUGUGUAUUCAAUAUCUUUUAUUUUUGCCCUUUCUUUCUUUGCUACCACAAAUCCCCAAUAAUGAACAACUUGUUCUCUCUAUCCUUUUUCUCUCUUUGUAGAUCUGAGCACUGAUCUUUAAUUGCAGUCAUUAUUUUGUGAGUGUCAAUCUCACUAUGCUGCUUCCCUCAUUCCUCUUCACCCACUGUUUCAUGUUUCAAGUGCUUUUUAUUGUCCAAUUCACACACCUUUUUCUAUUUCAGCCUCUUAUAUUCUUCAGUUUAUGUUUAGCUCACUACUAUGAAUUACCCAAAGUUCUGAGAACAUUGCCUCAAAUUAGGUAAAGUCUUUCACCUUUCAGAAUUGGUUAAUUUGGCCAGGUUGACUCUUCUUUUUGUUUGAAGACUACUGGCUUCAAUUUAUUAUCUUCUCUGAGUAUUCACAUCACUUGUCUCUGUCUUAGUACACACUCUCUUAUGAUGUGUCCCAACUCCAUUCCCUCUCCAACUAUUUCACAUUUUGUACAAGCUUAAACUAUAUUGUUUACUAAUCUCUCUUAUGAAGAGCACCAACCUUCCCUUAUCUGAAGUGUACAAAAUUUUUUUCCCCUCACAAAUUUGCUGUCCUAAGAUACAAUAUCUAUUUCUUCCUUUAAUCGCUCUUUUAUGAGAGUUCUCAUUCAUAAAUUUAUUUCAGGAAGAGCACAAAUUUUGUUUUCUAUCUAUUUGCUCUAUCAUGAGAAUACUGUUUCCUCAUUUUCUCUAAUGAAGAUAAUGGUCCUUACAUUCCCACCUGUAUGAGCAUUAACCCCAUAUUCUAUCUGAGCUAAUUUUUAUGAAGUGACAUGGCCCUAUUCUUCCUCUCAGUUCACACUCAUAGAGUAUAUACACCCCAUUCUCUUCCAGUUCACUCUCUUAUGAUGUGUACUGACCCUCUCUCCUAGUACAUUGACCUUAUUCUUUCACUGAGGUUUCUUAUGAAGUGUACAGCUCCAGUUCUCUGUAUUCCAGCCCACAGACCAACUUCUCUUCCCUGGACCUUUUUUAUAAAGUGUAAUGACCUUAUUCUUUCUCCUAAAGUGUGCAUACUAUUUUAUCUCUUCCAAUUGUACUGGCCAGCUACCCUUUCAGUUAACGCCCUUAUGUAUACAGAUCCUAUUCUUUGUCUUAGCACACACCCUUUAUAAUGUGUCCUAAAACCUUUUCUUUCUCUUGCCCAGCUCACUCUUAUGAAGUGUACUGGUCCUUUAUUCUUUAUCUCAGUUAAGGCCCUAUUCUUUUUCUUAGCACACUAUCUUAUGAUGUACCCAAACUCCCUUUCUCUCUCACUCAGUUGAUAAUGACAAUCUUAUGUGAACAGGCCCAUCUCUCUAUCUUAGUAUACACACAAUGAUGUGUUUUAACCCCUUUCUCUCUCUCUCACAGCCCACUCUUAUGAAGUGUUUGGUUCUAUUCUUUCUCACAGUUCAAUUUCUUAUGAAGUGUGUACGUCCCCCCUCCCAUCUCACUCUUUUUAAAGUCUACUAGCCCUCAGUUCACCUUUUUUAUGAAGUGUACAAACCUUAUUCUCACUUUUCCAGUUCUCUCUUUUAUGAGGUGCCCGGGGCCUUGUUUGGACACUAUCCUCCUCUCAGUUCUCUCUCUUGUGUCCUGGCCCUAUUCUUUCAGAUCACUCUCUUAUGAAGUGUACAAACCAAAUCCUGUCUCUAUCCUCUCUCUCAGGAGGUGUCCUGGGCCUUGUUUGGACCCCAUCCUUCCUCUUUCAGUUCUCUAUUAUGCCCUGGGCCUAUUCUCUCUCAGUUCACUCUCUUAUGAAGUGUACUGGUUCUUGUACAAACCCUACACUCCCUCUCUUUUAUGAGAUGCUUUGGCCAUUAUAUAAAACCCCGUUUCCUCUCUCAUGAGGGGGGUCUUGGCCGUAUUCUCUCUCUCUCUCUCAGUUCCCUUUCUUAUGAGGUGUACUGUCCUAAUUCUCUCUCUUAAGUUCACUCUCAAAAGGUGUCCUGGGCCUUGUUUGGAUCCCAUCUUCCCUCUUUCAGUUCCCUCUCUUAUGAGAUGUCCUGCCCCUAUUCUCUCUACAGGUCCCUCUUAUGAGAUGUCCUGUCCCUAUUCUCUUUCACAGGCCCCUCUCUUAGGUGUCCUGGACCUAAUCUCUCUCACACAGGUCCCUCUCUUACGAGGUGUCCUGCCAUCUAUCCUCUCUUAUGAGGUGUCUUGGGCCUAAUCUCUCAUUCUGUUCCCUCUCUUAUGAGGCUUCCUGGCCCUAUUCUUUCUCUCUCUCAUGCCCCUCUCUUAUGAGGUGUACUGGCCGUUCUCUCUAUCUCUCUCUGUUCCCUCUCUUAUGAGGUGUCCUGGCCCUAUUCUCUCUCUCUCUCUCAAGCUCCUCUCUUAUGAGGUUUACUGGCCAUUCUCUCUUAUGAGGUAUCCUGGCCCUAUUCUCUCUCUCAGGCUCCUCUCAUGAGGUAUCCUGGCCCUAUUCUCUCUCUCUCAGGCCCCUCUCUUACAAGGUGUACUGGCCAUUCUCUGGCCCUAUUCUCUCUCUAUCUCUCUCUCUCAGGGCCCCUGUUCUCUCUGUGAGAUGUUUUGGCCCUAUUCUCUCUCUCAGUUCCCUCUCUUAUGAAGUGUCUGACCCUGUUCUCUCUUUCUCUUAUUUCCCACUCUUACAAAGUAUCCUGGCAUCUUUUCUCUCUCUCUCUGUUUCCUCUCCUACGAGGCAUCCUGGCCUUGUUCUCUUUCUCUAUCCCCUCUCUUACAAGAGUGUUCUGGCCCUGUUCACUUGCUCUCUCUCCCUCUCUUACAAGGUGUCCUGGUCCUGCUAUCUCUUCUCAGUUCCCUCUCUUAUGAGGUGUUCUGGCCCUUUUCACUCUCUUUUAUGAGGUGUCCUGGCCCUGCUCUCUCUCUCUCUCUCUCUCUGUUUCCUCUUAACCCUAUUCUCUCUCUCUUUCUCAGUUUCCUCACUUACAAGGUGUUCUGGCUCUAUUAUCUCUCUUAUGAGGAGUCCUGGCCCUGUUCUCUCUGUUUCCUCUAUUAUGAGGUGUUCUGGCCCUAUUCUCUCUCUCUUCCCUCUCUUAUGAGGUAUCCUGGCCGUAUUCUGUCUGUUAGUUCACUCUUUUAAGAAGUGUCCUGACCUUUGUACAGACCCUAUCCUCCUCCUCUCAGUUCCCUCUCUCAUGAGGUGCCCCAUCCCCAUACUCUUUGUUCAUUCCCUUAAGAAGUACACAGCUCUAUUCUCUCUUACUCCUAGUUCACUUUUAUGAAGUACCCUGGCUCUAUUCUCUUUCUCCCAGUCCAUUCCUUCAGAACUAUACAAAUGCUAUUCUUUCUUUUUCAGCAUACAUACACAUGAUGUACAUUAGACCUAUUCUUUCUCACAGUAUCCUGAUCCUAUCCACUCUUUUUCCAGCUUUACACUUUUAUCAAGUGUAUUCUCUCUCUAGUUUAGGUUUAAGUGUUAACCCUACUCUUUCUCCUAGCAGACACUUUUAAAGUGUACAUGCCCUAUCCUCUUUAAUCCUAGUAGACACACACAAAUUCUUAUGAAGUGUACUGGCACUAUACUCCUCUCUUCUUGUAAGUUUAGACCCUUGUAAAGUGUACAUGUCCUAUUCUCUCUCUCUUUCUGUGUUACACAUUUUGGUGUAGAGACUUAAUUUUCCCUCUCAUAGCACAUACUUAUAUGAAAAGUUCUGGCCUUAUUCUCUCUCCCAACCCACACAAAGUAUUCUGGUAUCAUCUUCCUCUUAACUCACUUAUGAUUAAUACUGGUCCUGUUACCUCCUCUCUCCAUCUCUCAUGAGCAAUGCCACCUCUCUGCUCCUAAGUAUACUUGUUCUUUUUCCCCUCUCUCAAACUAAGUGCAAUGUAGUUUUCUCAGGCAUGUUGCCUUUAUGAAACACUACUACUCUUGAUCUCUAUCUAUGUGUUGUGUAUUGUCUAUUUCUUUUCUCAAGUACCCCUACUGGCUUGUUUUUAUUAGAAACACCAACCCAUAUUUUCAUUUCAAUUGUUAUUACCCCCUGAGAAUACUGUCUUUCUGUGUUCACCUUUUUUAAAAUCCCCACUUAUCUUUGAAAAAGCAUAAAACCCUAAACUCUAUUUUUUCCUCAAAAGCCCCCAUUCCACUUCUAUUUCAAGAUUCCAUGGAUCCUCAACUUUUCUCUCUCAAAACUUUUUGCUCUUAUUUUGAAAAUACCAGCUUUUCUGGCAUUUUAAAAAAGAGUACCAACUGUAUUUUCUUAAUAUUUGCUCAAAUAAAGAGCAGUGUUUUUUGUGAUUCAGGCAUAUUCUUUAUGUUCUAUCCCUCAAUAGCUCCAUCAGUGGAGUAACUCAACUGCUACAACCCUGCCUUCUAUCACCUACUACUAUAACAAAGAAUCCAAACCCAACCAUUUAUCCUAAGGUGUUAUCCAUCUCGGUUGUUUUCCUCUGCCAUUCCUUGUCCUGCUUUUUCCUGAAACCUAAUUUUGUUGUUAUCUGCUUAAAGUUACCAUUUAAAAUCACUCACAACUUUUGCAGUCAAUCCUUUUUGUAUUUGUUAUUUUCAUUAUACUAACCAAACCUCAAUCUGUUCAAUUGAUUUUAGCACCUCUUGUGAUUUUAAUUCAUCACUGCAGCCAACUUUCAAUAUUUGCUUCAUUAUUACAGUCUCAUCGUUUUCUUCCCUUUCUCGGAUAAAAUCUGAAGUGACUGUUUCAAGUCAACUCCCUGUUAACUUCAGUUCUCUCUACUGACAUUAGUCUACCCUUCAUAAUUCUGUUGAUUAAAAAGAUAUUUUAGAAUACUUGACUGUGAUGCUAUCUUUCUCAUAUACAAUCAUAAUGUAUAUCAUUGGUCUCAAGCAUAUGAAAUCAUAAUUUUUUUUUAAUGCUUUUAUGUUUUGUUUAUGUUUAAAAUUAUGGGGAAGAUUAAUAUUUUAAGUGAUCAUUAUUUUUGUCAUUGUCCAACUCUGAAGAGUACUUUUCUCCAAUAAAAAAAACUUUUCACAUACAUUUGAAAUCAUAAAGCAACUAUAAGUUUUAAAAUAUUUUCUAUCACUGCUGCCACUGUAAGUGACUUGGUAUUUAAAAAUAUUAACUAUUGUAAAUUAUUGUGUAUUAUGUAAUUAUCAAAGGUUUUUAAAUAUGAAUCAUUGUAUAUCAAAUUGAAUAAAGUGUGAUAAACUGAAUAAA